rnacentral:rRNA from 1 species
AGCAGCCGCGGUAAUUCCAGCUCCAAUAGCGUAUAUUAAAGUUGUUGCAGUUAAAAAGCUCGUAGUUGAAUUUCGGGGUUCUACCGUUGGUCGGGCAGUAGUCUGUACUGGCGCGUGGAAUUUCUACCUUCUGGGGAACCAUCAUGUUAUUUAUUUAGCGUGGUGGGAAACCAGAACCUUUACCUUGAAAAAAUUAGAGUGUUCAAAGCAGGCUUACGUCUGAAUACAUUAGCAUGGAAUAAUAAAAUAGGACGGUGGUCCUGUUUUGUUGGUUUCUGAAUCACCGUAAUGAUUAAUAGGGAUAGUUGGGGGCAUUAGUAUUCAAUUGUCAGAGGUGAAAUUCUUGGAUUUAUUGAAGACUAACUUCUGCGAAAGCAUUUGCCAAGGAUGUUUUCAUUAAUCAAGAACGAAAGUUAGGGGAUCGAAGACGAUCAGAUACCGUCGUAGUCUUAACCAUAAACUAUGCCGACUAGGGAUCGGACGAUGUUAAUUUUUCUUGACUCGUUCGGCGCCUUACGGG